CCAGGUCUGUCUUCACUGCUCUGUGUCCUCUGCUCCUAGAGGCCCAGCCUCUGUGGCGCUGUUACCAGCAGGUAUUGGAGAUCCACAGCUAAGAUGCCAGGACCCCCUAGAAGCCUAGAAAUGGGACUGUUGACAUUUAGGGAUGUGGCCAUAGAAUUCUCUCUGGAGGAGUGGCAACACCUGGACAUUGCACAGCAGAAUUUAUAUAGAAAUGUGAUGUUAGAGAACUACAGAAACCUGGCCUUCCUGGGUGAGGAUAACUUUAAUACAAAAUUCCUCACAUAAACUAAAGCUUUUAUUUUUCUUUAGAAUGUUUUCUGGUAAUUUACGCAUUCAGAUUUCUGUUUUCAAGAAAAUACUGGGGAUUUGUCUGUUGAGAAAGGAAUUUCUUCAAGAUGUUUCAUCUUGACCUGAACUUUCCACAUUCCUGAGCUAAUCUGUGUCCUGCACUUUAGAUUAAGGCUAAUUUCAGAAGUUUAGUGGCAUAAAAUAUUGUUACAUCUUAAAAUCCAUUUGGCAUCACCAAUUUUUGAUUCAGUAGUACCAGGCAGUGAAAUUAAGAACCUAAAAAAUUAAAAUAUUUCCUAAAUAUUUAAAAAUUUCUGUUAUAAAUUAGUGUAUUAGAAUAACUUUGUUAGCAUAUUCUAUUAUAUCCUCCUUACUGAGCACAUUACUAAGUUGGUAAUUGGAGAAUAUAAGCAAGAUUCAUUUAGUUAUUUUUAAUAAAACAGGUAUUGCUGUCUCUAAGCCAGACCUGAUCACCUGUCUGGAACAAGGGAAAGAGCCCUGGAAUAUGAAGCGACAUGAGAUGGUGGAUGAACCCCCAGGUAGGUGAGAGUGAAUACAACAGAUGACAUGGAUGAGAGGUCCAAAGUCAAGAAGAAAGCCACUCUUUAAAGUGAUUUAAGAAGCUGUGAUCCAAAGGAAAUAGUUUCUGGGAAGCCUAAAUUUUUUUUUUAAAUUAUACUCUCACAUAGGGGCAUCUUCUGCUUAUGCCUAUAAAAUCUAAGAAUUCUACUUUCCCUUCAAUGAUCUUCCUCCAAGUUUACAGUGACAGCCGAAGUACUGUUCAUGGCAUACAAAAGAGUGUACAAUCUGACUUCUUUUUUCUUGUUUUGUGGACAGACAGAUCUGUCUCCAUAAUUUUGAGAUACUGUAUGUUAAACUGUUUUUUAAGUUCUCUUUUUGCAUCAUGUCUGAAAUGUGUGAGAGUAGUAGUUUCUGUUAUAUUGGGUUUUUUCUUUUUGGUUUAUUUUUCUGCACAUUUCAUCCUGUUUUCAUUACUGUAGUCUUGAAAUAUAGUUUGAAAGUACAAAGUAGGAUGUCCUUCUGCUUUGUUCUUUUUCCUCAAGAUUGCUUUGACUAUUCAAAGUUUAUUGUAGUUUCAUGUCCAUUUUAGGAUUGGAUUUUUCAUUACUGUGAAG
rnacentral:lncRNA from 1 species